UCUCUGCAUUCCUUCCAUCUCCCAGCAUUCUCUGUUUCUAUCUCCGUGUGUUUAAAAACCGGUGUGGGAAGUGUGCACCCCUGUGCAUCAGACUCCGAACCAUGUUCUUCCUGACUCCCAUCUUGGUAGCCAUUCUCUGCAUUUUGGUUGUGUGGAUCUUUAAAAAUGUUAAUAGAAGCAUGGAGAAAAAGAAGGGGGAGGCUACAGCCAGGGCCGAGGCUCGCCCCUGGGUGGAUGAAGACUUAAAAGACAGCACUGACCUGCACCAAGCAGAAGAAGAUGUUGAUGAAUGGCACGAAUCAGAAGAAAAUGUUGAACACAUUCCAUUCUCACAUACCCGCUAUUCUGAGAAGGAAAUGGCUAAGAGAUCUCAGGAAUUUUAUGAACUUCUGAAUAACAGACGGUCAGUCAGGUUCAUAAGUAAUGAGCAAGUCCCAAUGGAAGUCAUUGAUAAUGUCAUCAGAACGGCAGGAACAGCCCCGAGUGGGGCCCACACAGAGCCCUGGACCUUCGUGGUUGUGAAGGACCCAGACAUGAAGCACAAGAUUCGACAGAUCAUCGAGGAGGAAGAGGAGAUCAACUACAUGAAAAGAAUGGGGCAUCGCUGGGUGUCAGACGUCAAGAAACUGAGAACCAAUUGGAUUAAAGAGUACUUGGAUACUGCCCCUGUUCUGAUUCUCAUUUUCAAACAACUACAUGGUUUUGCUGCAAAUGGCAAGAAAAAAGUCCACUACUACAAUGAGAUCAGUGUUUCCAUCGCUUGUGGCAUCCUGCUAGCUGCCCUGCAGGUUAUUGGGGAAAUUAUCCUGAAGGAGCUGGCAUUGAUUUCCUUCCUGAAUCUGUAAGCAGGUAAAUCAUGGAAUCGUGAUUCAGAGUCAGACCGCAGGGCACUGCCACCUGGUUGAGGGUCCUGGAAGAAGCCAGCAAAGCCUGCAGCAAGCUCAGCUCACAAAGCUGCCUGGAAUGCAGGUCUGGUGACUGUCACUACUACUCCUCUCAACUGUGGCCCUCGACUGAGGGUGCUCCUGGGCCGCCCCGCACAUGAAAAGCUGCUGAUGCUGCUCCCCGUGGGGUACCCCAGCAAGGAGGCCACGGUGCCUGACCUCAAGCGCAAACCUCUGGACCAGAUCAUGGUGACGGUGUAGGCAGGGACCCCCAAGGGUGCGGUGGGGAGGCAGCGCGCCUGCUUCUCCCUGUGCCUCUCGCCUGCUCCUCUGGGGUCUCUUGGCUGCCCUUUCCCCAGGUGUCAGGUCUCCCAGUCCCUCCUCUUCUCGGGUGGCCACAAGGUGUCAAGAAGCCUCUCCACACUCUGUGGCACUUCACGCCCCUAAGUCCUGUUUCUUAUCCACUUUGGAAAUGCAUGAACACUUUAUAAAGAACGUGGCCUAGUUUUUAAGUUUUAAAAGUUAUUCUAGAAAAUCGCUAUUGGCUUUUUUCUUUUAUUUUUAAAAACUCACGUAGAGGAGACAGUCAGAAAUUCAUCACAGUCCCAAAAAUUCAGCUACAUGAUGACUCGAAUUUAAAUUUAGAUUAAUCAAAUGGUCUCUUGCUCUUGGAUUUCUGUUGGCUUUUAGACAAAGGAUAUCCUUUUGAGAUAUACUUUUUAAACUGAACUUCAGGGACACCUUGCUAGUUUUGGAUACAUAACCAUUGAAGUAACUAAAAUGUGGCCAGGUGCAGUAGCUCAUGCCUGUAAUCCUUGCACUUUGGGAAGCUAAGGAGGGUGGAUUGCCUGAGCUCAGGAGUUUGAGACCAGCCUGGCCAACAUGGUGAAGCCCCAUUUCUACUAAAAAUACAAAAAAAAAAAAAAUAGCUGGGCACGGUGGCACACGCUUGUAAUCCCAGCUACGCAGUAGGCUGCGGCAGGAGAAUCACUUGAACCUGGGAGAUGGAGAUUGCAGUGAGCUGAUGCUGAGAUGUGCUACUGCACUCCAGACUGGGUGACAGAGUGAGAUUCUGUCUCAAAAAACAAAAACAAAGUCCUUCACAGAACAGGACAGGGCACGCUUGGGUGGCAUGGGCCUCGCUGGCAUGUAAACUGUCCGUUGCACUGCCUAGUGUUGUAGUAGAUCUGACUUGCAGCAAUUCACAGAAGCUGCUAAAUACUCAAGAAUCUUGCAAGCCAAUUAUUAAACAUUCAUAGCUUGAAAUUGCCCAUGGUGGGAGAAUUUACACCACAACCACUACAAAUCAGGGCUUGCUUGCUUUUUCUUAAAGAGAGCUGCUUGCCAUGCAUAGCACCCAUAGGAUCUCCCUUCUCUUCUACCCCACCCCAUGAAACACACUGACCCCUCUUCUCCACAUGAUAGCACAGCUGUUUGGGACUGAUGGGGUCACAGGUGCCAGGUUGGGAAUGCCAGAUGUGGUCUUCACCCAUCACCCUCUGCCGUCCGCCCAGGGGUGUUGCAUGUAAAGGCAAACUCUUACACAGCUUGGAUGAUUUUUUAUCAAGCAACUCCACUGACCUCUUUAUCCCCUUCCACUGUGCCUUUCUUCUUCUUGCUUCUUCUCGUUCUCCUCAUUUUCCUUGAGAAAACCCUCUCUAUAAAAAAUUUCCAUAGGCUAUGUGGCUCACAAACAACAGAAAUUUGUUUCUCACAGUUCUGGAGGCUGGAAGUCCAAGGUCAGGGUACCCGCAUGGUGAGAUGCUGGUGAGGACCCUGACCUGGGUUGCAGACUGCUGACUUCUCAUUGUGUCCUCAUGUAGUAGAAAGAGGGUUAGAGCCUCUGGCAUUCCCUUUAUAAGGGUACUAAUCCCAUCAUGAGGCCCCACCCUCAUGACCUUAUCACCUCCCAAAGGCGCCUCUCCUAAUACCGUCACAUUGGGGGUUAGAGUUUCAACGUAUGAAUUGUGGGGACACAAACAUUCCAUCCAUGGCACUUACUUUUUCGGGUUUGGCAUGCUGUUUGGUACACGGUUAACUUUCAUAAAUGGUGGGUGCCCUUACUGUGGUAGACACCAUUGUCAUUGCAAGGCAGCUCUGAUUGGGAUUCAGGAGAGCAAAGGUAACAAGGGUAGGUGAGGGACUCCCUCCUCUUUAGAGAAGCCUGUCUGUGGAUCAGGGGCAGCUGCAGGGCCAGAUGGAGUUGCCCUGCAGGAAGUCAGACUUACCCCAUCAGAGACCAACUUGAAAGAAUUUUUUCUCCGUGUAAUUGAUAUUAUCCAUCUGAUAUGCAGCCAGGUUAUUUAGUUCCGAAGCAUUGGAGUUGUUGAUUGCUACUGCCCCGUGGUUCUCACUCUUUGCAGGCACUUUUAAAAUUUUUAUUUAAAAAACUACAUACAAUGGAAAGAUCUGGCCAUUACCUUAACCUAGUGAUAAAGUUCUAACACACCAUUAAUGGUAGGAUAACUGACAUUAGGUGCCCCUGUUGGAUGCAUUAUGAAAUAUUCCUUCCAAAGAUGUCAAUGGAAACUAAUCAAGUCUUACACCUAACUUUCAGUUUACAGUAAAUACAGAGGAUAAGGAAGUUAAUGUUGUGGUAGAAUAACUAAAAUGUGCAUCAUUCUACAAGAAAUAGGCCUGGAUUCUUUAAGGAGCAAGUGUCAUUGGGGGAAGAAUGAGAGGGGGACUGUCCCGUUCUUGCUACUCAAAGGGUGGUCCUAGGCCCCUAGCAUCAUUGGCAUCACCCGGGCGCUUAUUAGAAUCAAAGACUCUCAGGUCUCACUCAGACAUCCAGAAUCAAAAUCUGCAUUUUAAUAAGAUCCCCGGGUGACCUGCAUGCCUGCUAAAGCCUGAUCCCUGUUCCAGAUAACCAGAGACCCAACAACCAAAGGCAAAGUGUAAGCCUUGAUUGGAUUUUGCUUUAGGAAAAAUCUCAUGGGUAUAAAAGACAAGUGGGAAUGUUGAAUGUGGAUCUGGUGGUGGGUGAUAUUGUAGUGAUAUGAGUGGUGCAUGCUGACGCACUGAGAGAUGAAGCAUCAUAUUGACAACUUCAGGAAAAAAGAAGGUGCGUGCGUAUGUGUGUUCAGAGAGUGUGAGAGAGAACUGACAUGGUAAAAUGUUAGGUGGAGCAUAUACAGUUCUCAUUAUACUCUUAUCUAAAAUUUAUGUUUGAACACAGUCAAAUCUAAAUGAAAAUACAUGUAAAUAAGCAUUUCUUUGAGUCAUAUAAAUAAUUUGCCUAAAAGAGCCCUCUAAGUACAUCGUUAGGUUAAGCGAUUUACUGAAGACAGCAGAUAUCAUGCUUAUUUCAUUGCAUUGUCUUGGAACGUCCCCCAUUUGGAUAGAUAGAGGUGUGAAAAUGAGAACCGGAGGAGAAAUAAGGUGAGAGGCUCACAUUGCUUGCAGAGAACUGACUGAGUAAUCAAGGAAAGGAGGGAAGCCCUUGGAAGGAACAUAAAAUCCAUUUCAACCUGCCUGCCCCAUGGAAUGGAGGGUCUCCUGUGACCAGAAACACCAGCCACUUCUUCUACCCCAGCACGCCCCACACUAACUUCUGCUGCAGCAUCAUGAUCAGGGCAAAUCAGCACAGUCCCCCAGCCAUCACUGGUGUCUGAAAAAGUAAAGACAAUUUUCUUCCUUCUCUCUGCAGCCCCAAGCUCUUAUUAACCUUCUUUUAUGUGUUCAUUAAAUGCAGUCAUGUGACAACUGUGUUCAAAGUUAGAAAUAGUGGUGUGGGAGGCUUAUAGGUCCUCUUGCUGUUUUGAGGCCUUAAAACAGAAAAAAUAAUGGAAUGAUUGCAUCAUUGUGAGGAAGGAUGCUUAAUUAAGAAACUUGAAAAUGGUUUGUCUUACUGAUAGGACUCACCUGAAGACUCUACUUUGUCAAAAGGGAACACUGAUUUGAAAGCUGUGUUAGCCAGCAUAGGGUAGAGCCACGGUCCUCAUACUUGCUGACGUUACUCAUCUGGGAGUCUGUUAAAGCACAGAUUGCUGGGCCACACCCUCGGGCAUGUGAUUCAGCAGGGCUGCGUGGUGCCCAAAUGCUCCAUUUCUAAAAUAUUCCCAAGUGUUACUGAUACUGGUGAUUGGGUACUACUUUUUGAGAACCACGGGGCACUGGCAAUCACCAAAUGCAAUGCUUCUAUGACUUGACAUGAUAGAAGUUCAUUUCUUGGGCAGGCAAAGUCCCCUGCGAGCCUGGAAACCUUCCAAGACAAUUGCUUGCAUGGGGUAACCCAGUAAUCCUGUAGGAUGCAUCUUCCAGGGCAUGGCUAGAGAAAACACUGGAAGAGCUCACCCCAACAAUUCCAUUCUACCUUGGCCCAGGAGUGACCGCCUCACUCUCACAGACCAUUAGCUAGAACUAGUCAUGUGACCUCACAGGAGGUGGAGCAAUGUUAUCAAUGUUAUCAUCCCCCUGCACCUGCAAGGAAUGGGGCCCAGAUGUGCAUAGGUGCUGGAUGUCUCUUCUCCAAAAUACAUGACUGAAUUUGAAAAAUAAAACUGGAUAUAACAACAAAGAAAAGGAGGGGAGAAGGAAAGUUGAAGAAAAUGGUGAAAUCAGAAUAGGACAGUGAAAGGCAUAUUUUCUUCUGGAACACUAAGACUGGUUGAUAUUUGUCUGACACAGCUCAGCAUCACUUUGGGUCAAAGAAAAUCAAUACAAACAUACAUAAAGCAGAUCUAAGAUUGACUUAUUCCUAGACAUUCCUGCAUCUGCCCACAAAAUGGAAACUUCCAUCAAGAAGUACAGGAGAGUCUAGCAUUUCUUCUUAUUUGCUCCUCCCUGUGAAAGGAAGGGUGACUUCUCUGAUGCAUUAAAUUGGUGGUAAAUAGUUAUUGCUCAUGCUCAAACCCCAACAAAGUGCACCCCAUUUUAAGACAAAUUUAGAAACUGGGGAUGAUUCGCCUUGCAAAGAUGAUCCACCAAUUGGUUUCUCUAUUUACUUUAUUCUUGCUCUGUCACCCAGGCUAGAAUGCAUUGGUGUGAUUGUGGCUUACUGCAGCCUCCAACUUCUGGACUCAAGUGAUCCUCUUGCCUCAACCUCCCAGGUAGCUGGCACUACAAGUGCACACCAUCACAUCCAGGCUAGUUUUUCUAAAUAUUGGAGUUCCCGAAGAGUAUUCAAACUGCUGUGAAGACAUUUUGUAAGCAUCUUUUAGGACUAUCCAUAACUGGAAGAAAAACACAUAGUUAUCAGUGGAUAUUGCGCCUGAGAGGCAUGAGAAAUAUAAUUGUUAUUUUGCUAGGUAUCAGCAGAGUGCUCUCUUACAAUAUGUGUGAAACAGAAACAAUGGUAAUGCCAUGUUUUCAAUUCACUCAUAGAUACAAGUAAUGAGAGGUACAGAAGAAAGGUUGCUCCAGCUCUGCUGCUACUGUGCCUUCCCUCUCCUGCCCCCACCCACCUCACAAAAAAGGCUGGAGACUCAAAAAUGGCUGCGUUUCUCUACCUUUUAGAAAGUGUGAAUAGCAGAGAACUGGAGGUGGGGAAGGUAAGGAAGUGGAGGCAAUGGGCCGAUGCAUCUAAGGCUGAUGCCAGGUCCGCUCCCUAUCUGGGUGGCCUCAGCUAAUGACGUCCAGGACAUCCAGGGGCAGGCACAAGGGAGAACAGUCCCUGAAGCUGAGAUCCUGCCAAGCUAAAUACAGUAGUUCUAAUGAAAUGUGAGAGGCUAUAAUCUCAUUUGGGAAAUUCCUAAAAAGUCACGAGACAGAGGAAUGGUUUAUGUUAUUAUCAUGACCUGAGAGUCAUGGCUCAGAGCCAAAUGUUCAGGAUUAAAUUCAACAGCACAUAAAUGUCUUUAGAGUGAGAUGGAAAUAUGUUAGCAAUGCCUGCAGAGUGCCAAGUAAAUGCAGAAGCCAAUGAGAUCAUAAAGGAAGUUGUUAGCUAACCUAGGUGGAAUCUCCAACGUCCUUCUACUCUAAUAAUUAAAAAUAAAAAUAGUAAUUAAGAGGUAAUUGGAAUAAAGGUUCUAAAAUCAAACCCCUCUGAAGGGUGAAGACUGGGAGCCUCCUGUUGCCACAGUAACGCCGGCACUCAGAGCACUGUCUCCCAGCGCUGGAGUAUUGUCUUCUGACCUGAGCUCCUAAGCAACCUCUGCUCAUCUGAGACAUCCGCCAUAUUGUGGGCAUGAAUCCUUAACAAUAGUAAAUAGUAAAUCAGUUCCCUUGUUGGGCAAAUGACUUAAGUCUGGGAAUGUGUAGAAUUAAUUACGAAAAUGAUGCAAUAAUUCAAAUCCAUAAUAUUGAUACUUUCAUGUUAAGUUUAGGAAUAAUCUUGUGUAUUUUCCGUAAGUGAUUUGAAUCUUUAAAAAGCUUAUAUGAUUCCAAUCUGAAAUGUGAAAUUUAAGUUUGUCAUUUGAAGUUGAAAGGUAUAAGAAUAUUUAACUUAACUCAUUAAUGGUAUUAGACUAGAUUUACUGUGUUUAUAAGUUAAAUGUAUUAGAUUUACAAGGGACGUUCAAGUAUAUGAGAAUGUUUCAUCUUAAUUUGGUAUAAUCUUGCCAUAUCAAUGAUUUGAAGCACUAAAAUAGAAAACCAAAUAUGAUAAAUUAUACAAGCAGUUUAGAAUGUUUAAGAGAUUUUAAUAAACAAAGCCUGUAACUGAGA